rnacentral:rRNA from 1 species
AACGAACGCUGGCGGCAUGCCUAACACAUGCAAGUCGAACGAGACCUUCGGGGCUAGUGGCGCACGGGUGCGUAACGCGUGGGAACCUGCCCUUAGGUUCGGAAUAACUCCCCGAAAGGGGUGCUAAUACCGGAGAAUGUCUUCGGACCAAAGAUUUAUCGCCUUUGGAUGGGCCCGCGUUGGAUUAGCUAGUUGGUAGGGUAAAAGCCUACCAAGGCGACGAUCCAUAGCUGGUCUGAGAGGAUGAUCAGCCACACUGGGACUGAGACACGGCCCAGACUCCUACGGGAGGCAGCAGUGGGGAAUAUUGGACAAUGAGCGCAAGCCUGAUCCAGCAAUGCCGCGUGAGUGAUGAAGGCCUUAGGGUUGUAAAGCUCUUUUACCCGGGAUGAUAAUGACAGUACCGGGAGAAUAAGCUCCGGCUAACUCCGUG